GGUUGAUCCUGCCGGAGGUCAUUGCUAUUGGAGUCCGAUUUAGCCAUGCUAGUUGCACGAGUUUAGACUCGUAGCAGAUAGCUCAGUAACACGUGGCCAAACUGCCCUAUAGACGGCGAUAACCUCGGGAAACUGAGGCUAAUAGCCGAUACCGUUCACUACCUGGAGUGGUGUGAACGCGAAACGUUCAGGCGCUAUAGGAUGUGGCUGCGGCCGAUUAGGUAGACGGUGGGGUAACGGCCCACCGUGCCUAUAAUCGGUACGGGUUGUGAGAGCAAGAGCCCGGAGACGGUAUCUGAGACAAGAUACCGGGCCCUACGGGGCGCAGCAGGCGCGAAACCUUUACACUGCACGCGAGUGCGAUAAGGGGACUCCGAGUGCGAGGGCAUAUAGUCCUCGCUUUUCACCACCGUAAGGUGGUGGUGGAAUAAGUGCUGGGCAAGACCGGUGCCAGCCGCCGCGGUAAUACCGGCAGCACGAGUGAUGACCGCUAUUAUUGGGCCUAAAGCGUCCGUAGCUGGCCACGCAAGUCUAUCGGGAAAUCUGCGCGCUUAACGCGCAGGCGUCCGGUGGAAACUGUGUGGCUUGGGACCGGAAGACCAGAGGGGUACGUCCGGGGUAGGAGUGAAAUCCCGUAAUCCUGGACGGACCACCGGUGGCGAAAGCGCCUCUGGAAGACGGAUCCGACGGUGAGGGACGAAAGCUCGGGUCACGAACCGGAUUAGAUACCCGGGUAGUCCGAGCUGUAAACGAUGUCUGCUAGGUGUGGCACAGGCUACGAGCCUGUGCUGUGCCGUAGGGAAGCCGAGAAGCAGACCGCCUGGGAAGUACGUCCGCAAGGAUGAAACUUAAAGGAAUUGGCGGGGGAGCACUACAACCGGAGGAGCCUGCGGUUUAAUUGGAUUCAACGCCGGG
rnacentral:rRNA from 1 species